CGUUGUUCAUUUUUUGGGAAAACACUUCUCAAAACUUCAAAAAUAUUUUAUUUAUCCCUAUUUUUUUUUUUCUUUCUAAUAUACCCUUCAUAUGUUUCUCCGUUAUUCUAAAGUACCCUUGCAGUUACCACAUGUUAAGCUAACUUAAGUUAAAUAUGAGUUAAAUAUCUAUCACAAUUAAAAAGAAUUAAAAUGCCACUUUUGUUCUUAACUUAAGGGCAAAUAAGAAAUGUUGGUGACGGUAGAAAUGUAUAUUUGAAAAGAUCAAAAAAUAAAAUAUUUUUUGUGUCCCAAAUUUAAGGGCAAAUAAGAAAUAUUAGUGAUGGUAGAAGAAUAUAUUUGAAAGGAUAAAAUAAUAAUUUUAUAGAAAUAAUAGAGUUCAUUAACAGAUUUUAACUCUAGAAGUAUAUUUGAAAUAAGUUGGAACAUAAAAAGAAUAUUUUCAAUAUUAUCCUUCUAAGAGNUGUAAAAUGACCAUUUUGCCCCUCGCCAUUGUCGUCUUCUUUCCCAUCUUCCUCAGCCGUCCCUUCGUUCGAUCGCGAUUCCCACCUCAAUCGGCCGCGAUUUCUCUCAUUUUCUUUUCCAUCUGCUCCCCUUCUCCUCCUGCACCCUCGCCGCCCUCGAUUUCGGCGACAGUAGGAGAAAACUGAAGUGGGCGACAGUAGGAGAAGGGCAAAAAAGGCGAAGGCAAGGCGGCGAAGGACGGCGAAGGGGAUGUGGGUGAGGGCGAGGCAGUGGAGGACGGCGAGGCGGCGAGGCGGCGGCGAGGUAGCGAGCCGGAGGGAGGCGAAGCAAGAGGGAGAUAGCGGAGGGGUAUUUUCGGCAUAAAAAUAUAUUUUUUAACAGAACCCUAACGGUAGGGGGUGAAGUGCACAUUUUUUAUUUUACAGGAGGGCAAAGUAUAGGUUUUUAAAUGUCAGAAAGGAAAAGUGAAAAAGUGGGUUAUUACAAAGGAAUUUUAUGUAAUUUAGCCUAAAUUCUAU
rnacentral:lncRNA from 1 species